rnacentral:rRNA from 1 species
UACAGAGGGUGCAAGCGUUAAUCGGAAUUACUGGGCGUAAAGCGCACGUAGGCGGUUUUUUAAGUCAGAUGUGAAAGCCCCGGGCUCAAUCUGGGAAUUGCAUUUGAAACUGGGAAACUAGAGUGUGUGAGAGGGGGGUAGAAUUCCAAGUGUAGCGGUGAAAUGCGUAGAGAUUUGGAGGAAUACCAGUGGCGAAGGCGGCCCCCUGGCACAACACUGACGCUCAGGUACGAAAGCGUGGGGAGCAAACAGG